rnacentral:rRNA from 1 species
GAUGAACGCUGGCGGCGUGCCUAAUACAUGCAAGUCGAGCGAACAGACGAGGAGCUUGCUCCUCUGACGUUAGCGGCGGACGGGUGAGUAACACGUGGAUAACCUACCUAUAAGACUGGGAUAACUUCGGGAAACCGGAGCUAAUACCGGAUAAUAUAUUGAACCGCAUGGUUCAAUAGUGAAAGACGGUUUUGCUGUCACUUAUAGAUGGAUCCGCGCCGCAUUAGCUAGUUGGUAAGGUAACGGCUUACCAAGGCAACGAUGCGUAGCCGACCUGAGAGGGUGAGCGGCCACACUGCAACUGAGACACGGUCCAGACUCCUACGGGAGGCAGCAGUAGGGAAUCUUCCGCAAUGGGCGAAAGCCUGACGGAGCAACGCCGCGUGAGUGAUGAAGGUCUUCGGAUCGUAAAACUCUGUUAUUAGGGAAGAACAAAUGUGUAAGUAACUAUGCACGUCUUGACGGUACCUAAGCAGAAAGCCACGGCUAACUACGU